rnacentral:rRNA from 1 species
GGACUGCUGGUAUUAAGCCGGAGGAAGUGGGGAACGACGUCAAGUCAGCAUGACCUUUAUAUCCAGGGCUACGACACACGCUACAAUGGUCAGUACAAUGGGUUGCCAAGCCGCGAGGCGGAGCCAAUCCUAAAAGCUGGCCUCAGUUCAGAUUGCAGUCUGAAACUCGACUGCAUGAAGUCGGAGUUGCUAGUAAACGCAGGUCAGCUAUACUGCGUUGAAUACGUUCCCGGGGCCUU